rnacentral:rRNA from 1 species
CCUACGGGAGGCAGCAGUGAGGAAUCUUGGACAAUGGACGCACGUCUGAACCAGCCAUGCCGCGUGCAGGAAGACGGAUCUAUGAGUCGUACACUUCUUUUGUCCGAGGACAAACGCAGAUACGCGUAUCUGUCUGAAAGUAUCGUCCGACUAAGCAUCGGCUAACUCCGUGCCAGCAGCCGCGGUAAUACGGAGGAUUCAAGCUUUAUCCGGAUUUAUUGGGUUUAAAGGGUGCGUAGGCGGUCGGGUAAGUUAGAGGUGAAAGGCCGAGGCUCAACUUCGGAAUUGCCUCUGAUACUGUUCGGCGAGAGAUGAGUGGAGGGAGGCGGGAUGGAGGGUGUAGCGGUGAAAUGCUGAGAGAUCAUACAGAACACCGAUUGCGAAGGCAGCGUACCAAGCUACUUAUGACGUUGAGGCACGAAAGCGUGGGGAGCGAACAGGAUUAGAUACCCUGGUAGUC